AAAACAUAUGAGGAAGAAAAUAGCAGAUGAGAAGAAUCAACCAAAUUCCGGAAGCUGGAAGGCAGAUGCAAAAAGCCCUUGAAAGAUGCCAGCACCUUGAUAUUGGGUUUCCCAGCCUCCAGAACCAUGAGCCAAUACAUUUCUGUUCCAUAAAAAUUACCCAGUUUCAGGUGUUCUGCUAUAGCAGCACAAAAUGAACUAACACAAUGUUGGCACAAGACUCAGUGCUGGGCCUGUCAUACAACAGGUCCUUGGAGUGGCGUGCUGUGUGGAUAAUGAAUGUUGGGGAAGGUGUCUCUCUCCAGCCCCUCUCAAGCUUUCUGUAGUCGCUGGUCCACUCUGUAUUGCUGUGAAGACGCUCAAGACCAGCCUGUAUCACUCCGGGUCCUGGCAGGACCCAGAAGCCAUUCUCAAACUGAGGCAUUGAAGAGGGUUUAAUAUGGGAGUUAUUUACAAAGGUGUGGGCUGGUGUAGCUGCCCAUAUGCCCUUGAAAUCACCUCUACAUGGCAAGAGCUACUUACUGCCAAAAGAGUCUCUCUCUCGUUGCUGCAAGUAUUUUCUAGCCAUGUGAGCAAGCUCAGACAGUUACGCUGAACAAACUAAGAGUGCCAGGAAGUUAAUGUUCUGGAAGCAUUGCCAGAGGGGAGGGGGCAGAUAGAUUCCUCAGCUUCCUCGCUGGGGACCUCAGUUGGGUUAAGCCCGUGACAUAUUUGUCAUCUCCCAGAGUGCUGCCCAGGGAUAGAGCUCUAGAUGUUCAGUGGUGGUGGUGACCUGCUCGUGUCAGCUUCUUCCCCUUUCCUGUCUUGUUUCUGCAGCCACAUCCUUCCCAUGUUUCCUCUUCCCAAAUAAACUACUUGCAUU